rnacentral:rRNA from 1 species
CGGAGGGUGCAAGCGUUGUCCGAAUUUAUUGGGUUUAAAGGGUGCGUAGGCGGUCUUUUAAGUCAGUGGUGAAAUCCUGCAGCUCAACUGUAGAACAGCCAUUGAUACUGAAAGACUUGAGUACAGACGAGGUAGGCGGAAUUUAUGGUGUAGCGGUGAAAUGCAUAGAUACCAUAAAGAACCCCUAUUGCGAAGGCAGCUUACUAGGCUGUAACUGACGCUGAGGCACGAAAGCGUGGGGAUCAAACAGGAUUAGAUACCCUGGUAGUCCACGCCGUAAACGAUGAUUACUCGAUGUUCGCGAUAUACAGUGAGCGUCCAAGCGAAAGCGUUAAGUAAGCCACCUGGGAAGUACGAUCGCAAGAUUG